GGAGGAUCGCUUGAACCUGGGAGGUGGAGGUUGCAGUGAGCUGAGAUCACGCCACUGCACUCCAGCCUGGGCAACAGAG
rnacentral:miRNA from 1 species